UCAUUUUGAUGAAAUUGAGUGCCCAUAUAAUUAAAUUCUUGAUCAGACUGCCUUCUGCAAAACUUAAGCACAAAACCCUAGAUAACAUUUAUUAGAACAUAAAAUCAAAUCUAGUCAAACUCAAUUAAUUCACACUACUAGAAAAAUAAACCUUGAGUCCCCAGCAACGGCGCCAAAAACUUGUUGAAAAAUUGGCAAAUGUACCAAAUCGUACAAGUAAUAUAAAUGGUAAGACCAAGUAUCGUCUUCCCAAGAGACUCGUAUGGCUUCCUCGUUCGCGUGAAUUAAAAUAAUAAGACUUGAAAAAUAAAAAUUAAUAAAUUGGAUUUAAGAACAAAAAUAUUAACAUGCAAAAAUAAAGUUGAUUCAAUUGACAAACGAAAACAAUGGAUGAAUGGAUGUUGUUGGGGGUUACAAUUUCAUCUAUUCCGCUCUCUCUUACAUACUACCCUUGAAUAUUAGUUUGAUUGAUUCAAUUGUUAUGCGACUAUCUUAGCCUCCCCUUAACCCGAUCCCUCGGCGAAAAUGGCCUAAUAUUAACUACUGGCUUGCUAUCCCUAGCCUCCCCUAGUAAUUAAUACCGCAUUAUAAACAGAAGUUAGCGCAAUUGAUCGUCCUACCCCUAUCCCUAGGUGGUAUUGCAAAANCAAGAGAUUACUCACCAGUUCAUGUCAUUACUGUACGUCCCCAUAUCAAUAAAGACAAACAUCAAUAUACCGAAUGAGUUAAACGAUAAAGGCCUUAAGUACAGAUGAUAACCCAACAAUAAUCAAUCAACACAUAUGGAGACCAUAUAAAUAAUCAAGAGAUUAAAUAAGAGAGAGUAUCAAAAGAUUACAUUGUUUCCCCCAACAACAAUAGGGUUUAGUUCACCAUAAACAUGGUGAAACUAGAUGAAAAAUGGAAGAAGAAUGGAAAAGCAGACCCUAGAAAAGAUGAAAAGGAGCCUAAGAAUCCAAGAGAUCCUCUCCAGAGAGCAAAGUUAGGUCUGGCCGUUCUCCCCUAUUAAAAGAAUGAUUCUGAAUUCGCAAUAGGGGUAUAUAUAGGUGAGGAGCGCAUUAGAAAUGGGCCCAAGUCCAGCGAGCCACCGUCGGGCGAUUUAAGUGUGCCGCCCGGCGGUUUGCCACAAAUCGCCCUACCGCCCGGCGGCAAUCGCCACCGCCAGGCGGUUUCCCUCAGGUCCACCCAGCGUCAAUCGCCAUGCCUUCUCCUCGUCCUGGACCGCCCGACGGUUUAAGUGUGCCGCCGGGCGGUGUGUCGACUCUUCAAAUCUUUAUUUUUCUGCUCUUUUCUUGAGUCAACGACCUGUAUCUU
rnacentral:lncRNA from 1 species